UUCAUAGGGUAUGACCUUUUCCAUCUGCCUGGGUCUCAAGAGUGAGGAUGACAUGGAGUAGAGCAGCAGGAGAAGCCCUCCACUUGCCCACUGGCUUGGAAAUGCUCGCACUGUGAGGCACUUGGGAGAUUAUCAGAGUCAAGAAGAAAUGGCCGAGUCACGUCUUCUGGCUAAUGCUCGCCCCAGGGCAUCCACUGGAUUUUGGGCCGCACUGAUGCCAUCUGUAACACAGCACCUGGAAUACGGACAACACGGCUGCACAAACUGCAUCCCAUGUUUAGAGGAACGUCAAAGGAGGCUUCAGUACUCGCCAGCGCCCGGGAGAAGCUGCUCCCUCAGCUUGCAGACAUGUAGGUAUCCUCAGAGAGAGCCUCAGGUGUGCCGGGCGGCUGCAAUACUUCACAUUGGCAUUGCUCUCUACGGCUGAAAACAACUCUCUGCCUGUCCACGCUCCCCUCCUUCCCUCGCAGCAUGCACGCGAGUGCGCGCGCGCACACACACACACACACACACACACACUCCCUCCUCUGAGGGACUCUGGCAGCUGGAUUGUGGUCCAAUGCACACGCUAUAUAUACUGCUGCUCAUGCAUAUUAAUCAGCUCUCAUUGACUAUUCAUAACAGACAAUGAUACAGAAGCUAUAAUUGCCAACUAUGACAGUUGAAAUUUCUCUAAUUAACAAGCAAGUGUUCCAGAGAUAGGGAAUAAUAAAAGACACUAACAAUUUUGCAAGCCAUUUCCUGGCACUUACAAAUAAACAUGACUGCAUUUUUAGUAAGGUCUCCUAGGAUAAUCCCUAAUGCAUUUAAGCUAAGUAGAAAUUCAUUUUUAAAUAUAUCAUAAAAUUUCUGAUGAUAUAAAUGUAUUUAAUGCUGCAGAUAAUGAUGGCAUAUAAAUGGGUUUUAUAGAAUGCACAUGUUUUGAAUAAUGUUCAUAUAAUAUUUAGCGCUUUACUAAGUUGCAGGAAAAAUCCUCCACAUAUGAAUAAAAUACAAAAAUUUAAAUUGCGAGAUAUAUGCUGCAUAUGCAAAGUUAACCAGGGGUUGUUAAGGAGAGAGGCUGCCCUAAAGGUGAGCAAGAGGAUCAUCUUUGCUAAAGUGCAUUUUUAAUUCCCAAAGCAGAAAGUUAUUUUUUUCAAGGGCUGCCCAGCCCACUGGAAGAAAGAGAAGCGACCAGCUUCGUGCCAUCUCCAUGGCUAUGUAGAUGUUGCAGAUAUCUCAGAGCCCAUGCCACCCAGCUAAUUGCCACUGGCCACAACAGAUCUGUACCUACUCUGUAUCUGCCUAGACUUUGCCCUGUGCCCUGUGUCAGGAGAACAGGGAACUGUAAUCACAGACCGAAAGAAGGUGAGCACAGAUGGCAUUUAAGGGUUUUAGUCCUUGCUGUGUUGUUUCUUGACUCCCUUUCAUUCAGCUUCUGUCCCCCCAAGUUUGAUGGCUUUAAAAAAAAAAACCUUCUUUUUUUAAGUGAUUGCCCCACUACCUGAAUGAAAUGCACAGGGGCCAUUUUUUUGGAACCAAAAUUGUUGAUACGUGGAAUUCUCACAGUUGCUCCCACAGCCUUCCCCCUUUCAUUUUAGAAAGGUUGAACUGUCAGGCGGACUCCCACGUCUCCUGUCACGUGGCCUGACGAAUAAUGGUACCUUUCUCUGGGAGCUGAGAUACACCUGUGACGUGAUUAAACCAGUCCCAAUAAAACCCCGAGUGGGCUGGCAGCCAGCACAUACAUCUGGUCCCCUGUUUGGACCUGGAAGAUGCAGCAUGACUGUGUGGCUUGGCUCUGCUAACAGCCCUGGCUUGCUGGAGGGGAAAGAAGAGAGCCUUGGUCUCACGCCCUCUCCUGGUGUCCCUGUCUGGGCUGCAGCAGAAAGCUGAGGCACGCAACAAGGAAAGGAAGCCACGGAUGGAGCGGGCCAGUGGCAGUGACCUCUCACUUGCUUUGAGGCUGGCAGGGCCCAUGAGCAAGUUAUUAGGACCUCAGCUUCCUAAUCUCCAAGUAUGUCUCACACUAACUGCCUGCAGAGUUGUGCUGCAGGGAUGUGACACAAGCUGCUCACCUGGCCUCAGAGGUCACACUUGUUCACAUGCCUCGCCUCAUUCCCAGAGCCUGCCAUCAGCGAGUUUGCUCUCUCCUUCUCCAACUUAGAUCUCAUCCCCGUCCACUUCCGUCUGUUGCCCAUCCUCCUGUCCCCCAUCCAGUGGACCCACCGUCUAGUCUCACCUGGGAGAGAGCCUCUGUCUGCUUCCUUCCGCCUCCCCAUGAGUGACCCCUCCUCCCAACUCACUGUCCACACACCUGCCAGGUUGGUCCUUACAAAGCAGAAAUGAGAUCAUUUCUUUUGCUCACUUCAAAACCCUUCAAUGGCUUCUCACCACACUUGGAUUAAAACCAAAUUCUGCACUAUGGCCUCCAGUGUCCUGUAAAAUAUGGUCCUUGCCCAUCAAUUUCUCCAUUCAUCUCCCCCUGCUCCACUGCUCACCUCACUCCCUCCAGGACAUAGCCUCCCUUAGGGCCUUUGCCAUUUUACAAAAAUUUUUUUAAAUUGAAGAGUAGUUGAUACAUAUCAUUAGUUCAGGUGUACAACACAGUAAUUCUGCAAUUAUAUAUGGUAUGAAAUGCUCACCAUGGAAAGUGCAGUUCCCACCUGUCAUCAUGUAAAGGUGUCACAGGGGGGCUGACAUGCUCCCUGUGCUGUGCUUCCCAUCCCCAUGGCUUCUUCCUCUAGUAACUGGAAGCUUGUUCCUCUUAAUCCCCUUCACCUAUGCUGCCAUCCCUCCACCCCAUCCCCUGUGACAACCAGCAGUUUGUUCUCUGCAUUUAUGGUCUGUUUCUGCUGUUCAUUUGCUCACUUCAUUUCUAAGAUGCACAGGUGAGUCAGAUCCUAUGGUAUUUGUCUCUGUCUGACUUGCAUCACUCAGCAGAAUGUCCUCUCUGGCCGUCCAUGCUGUCAUGAACGGUAAGUACAUUUGGGGUUCCCUCUGCCAGAACUGUUUCUCCCUGUCUUUGUACCCCCUUAACACUCCCAUCUCAGCACAAAUAAAGCCUCUUUAGAGAAGCCUUUGCGGGCACCCCAAAUGAAUUCUGUCUCAAUCCUCCAAAUUAUGGGAUCUGAUCAUCCCAUUCACUUCCUCAGCAUCUCCCUUUAAAAUGAGUAAUGACCCUGUUCACUUUUGCUUAUUUUGUGACUGUCUUCUUGCCCCAAAGGUAGGGGCCAUGUGUGAAUUUCCACUACAGUUCAGCUCUGGGAAGGUGCUGGGGAUGCACCUGUCUUUUGGCUGAGUGAAUAGAGGCAGGCUGGCCCCGAGGUGCCACAGACUCAGACAUUACAGUGCCAACGAGAAGGGCCGCAUGCAGAGGUAAAGGGUGUGCUUGGGUCCCCACGAAGGAACCCUGAUGGGUUUUCCUCCCCCAGGGCUGUGGACUUUAAAUUACUUCCUUGCAAGGUUUUGCAUUUCACAGUAGCUCUUCUCCAGCUUUUUCCUGCACACCCACAAACCAGUGCAGAAGUGGGCCCUUAACUAAAUGGAUAGGGAACUUAGGCAAAUCCCUUUACUCUGUUAAAACUCUCAGAGCUAAAUCACAGGCCAGGAGAGUUUUAUCACCCAUUGCCCUGGACUUCAAAGCAGUGUUUCUCAAACUUCUGGGUCUUUGGAACCCCUUCAUACUCUUAAAAAAUUUUGAGAACCCUCAAUGGCUUUUGUUUAUGUGGAUCAUACCUAUUGAUGCUUAUCAUGUUAGAAACAAUCAAAUUCAAAAAUAGUUUUUCUUCAAUUCAAAUCAAAGAACAAUGAUGAACCCAUUACCUAUUCAUUAAAGUAACAUUUCCAUGAAAUUUUUUUCCAAAAAAGUAAUUUUUUGUAAAGAAUGACAUUGUUUUACAUUUUUAUAAAGUUGUCUUGCUUAAUUGAAGACAACUGGCUUUUCACAUUUGCUCCUGUGCUGAGUCAUUUCUGGUGUGUCAUAGAGAAGUCUCUAGAAAACUCUACUGGACUGUAUGCUCAUAACAGAGUAAGGGUGAAAGAGGAACCUGACAUCUUAGCAUUUUUAUGUAGUUAGUUCUGUCCUCACAGACCCUCCCCAGACCGCCAAGUACCCCAUGGUGCCUGGCUCACACUCUGAGAACUGCUGUGUGACAUAUUACUGGAACGUAUGCUUGGAAUCAACAAUAAUGCCAACACCCACGUUCCCAUUAUGCCCAAAACAAAACUUUACUGAAGUGAUGAUUUGCCUUAAAAAUACCCUUUACUGUGGAAAAUAACUUAGAGCACCUAGAAUAGUCUCAUUGUCACACUGUUGUUUCCUGAGGGUGUGUAAGAAACACCCCACUGUAUGAAAGGAUUGUGUGUCACCUGUACUGUCCUGCACACCAUGGCACUGAACACCACAGAUCUGAACGGUACAGAGCAUCUUAGUGCGUUAGGGACAGGAAGCUAUUUACAAUAUAACUGUUUUUGACAGAACAGCUGUCCCCAUAAACAGGAGAAACUCCUGGCCGAACAAAGGCACACACUAUCUGGAGAAGGUGUUGCAUGUCCUCUUCAAGUCAGUGAUCGCAUUGUGGGAAAGCAUCUGAUAAGCUCGCCAGGGCCCCUCUGCCCCAUCAGAUGCCCACCUCCUCCUGUGGGCAUGAGAAGUACAGUGCAAAGCCAGGGCACCGAGGCCAUGCAGAGACUGUCAGACGGGAGAGGCACGGACAGUCAGGGCUGAAGGUGCCCUGGGAACACCUGUGUAAUCACUCUUUGAACUUCCGUAAGUCACCAGGGGAUGCUGCUGGAGUCACCAGGUGGAGACAUGGACUUAGACUCACUUAGCUGCAGGAAUAUAUCUACUUCGAGCAUAUCAUUUGCAGCACACAGACUGGGGUGUCUGUCUCAUACCUGUGAUGUGACCUUGUUCUUCCCGGUGUGUGAUGAGUGCAGGACCCCUCAAACCAGGCAGCCAGCUGAGCGAUCCCUUCUGGGAAGGGCCGUGACAAAAAAAGAACUCGGGCCAUGGGGCCAAACAGGAAACCAAGUCCGUAAGAAGCAACAGAGGCCUGUGGGGACCGGCACUGCUUGCCUCAGGGUGAAUCCCGCCUCACCCCAGGCCCUAAGUGCCGGCCCACUGGGUCUGCCUUGCCAUAGGAUCUUUUCAGCUUUCUUCUGGAUCACACUGAUUCACUAAUUUGGCUUCUUCAUCAUUCAAACCUCACUCUCAGUUUAAUUCCUACUGUACAAUGCAGCUACACAAACACAAACAGCUGAUAAGCCCACCACCCUGCAGACCCAGUCCAAGCUUGCAAGCAUGUGGCCCCGGCUCCGGCCUCCUCUGUAGUCUGGCAGCACUUCCUGGGUUAGAUUCCUUCGUGCCUCCAUAUCUGUGCACCUGCUGGGCCUUGGCCUGGACUGUCCAACUCCAUCAUCUUUGCCCCUUAAGCCUCCCCUUUCUGCCCCAGUGACAGGGACCCCCAGGGCACACUGCACUUCUGCUGCCCCCGUAUGGCACAGUUCACACUGCAGGGUCCUCUGCCUUUGCGUCACUCCUCCUUCACUGGAGAUGGCUCUGCCAGUGCAAGGUGCAGGCCUAACUCAGCUACGCAUGCCCACCUCUCCCCGCAACCACAGAUGCUCAAUAUACAUCUGAUGCAUACCUUCAGCAUCUGGUAUUACUGAGCGCCUGCUCUGUACCAGGAGCUCUCCUGGGUUCUGAGAAUACAACAGUGACCCAAAUGGACAAAGACGUCUGCUCUCUGCCAUGAGAAGAUGAGGGCCAUAAACCUGGAAAUGGCACUUUUCAUUCCUGCCAGGGUCUGAAUGUGUGUGCCCUCCCCAAAUUCAUACACUGAAAAUCCUACUGCCUAAUGUGAUGGCAUCAGGCCCGGGGGGCCCUUGGGAGGAGCUCAGGGCAUGAGGGUGGAACCCUCAGGAAGGAAUCAGUGCCCUAGGAAGACAGACCCCACAGAGCUCCCGGCCCUUCCAUUGGGUGAUGACACAACUCACCGUCCGCGACCGAGCGGCAAGCCUUCACCCAGUCACGCCGGCACGCUGAUGGUGCACCACCACCUCCGGAGCUUGGGGCAGUCAGUGUCUGCUGUUUAUAACCACAGAGUCUGUGUUCCUUUGUUUCAGGAUGAGGACAGCACCAAGCAGUACUCAGAUUCACGAGAGCAGCCCUAACGGCCUAAGAGGAGCACCUUUUGUAGAACUGAAAAUUGCUCCUACAAGUCCUGGCCAGAGACUCAAAAUCACCAUGUGCUGAGGAAACGGUUUAGUAAUUUCUAGUUUGACCCUCACCUUUGUCAAGGGGACUUUCAUCAGCUUGACUGAACCACAUUUAGUAAGUUCUCGAACUGAUCCUUGAACAAGGGGUAGGAAUUGCUAGAAAGCUAAGUGUGGAUGAAAAACAAAUCAUCGUAGUGAAGGGAAAAAAAAAUUCAAGGAUGUUAGAACACACACACGCUUAAUGUCAGAAGAGUUGAAAAAAUACAUAUUAGUAGCUAUGAGUGCACUUUUGUUUCUGAAAAGCUAUAUAAGCUCAGAACAUCUGCUUGGGACCUCAAAGCUUAUUUUUAAAAAUGAAAGGAUAUUUUUCUCUUGCCAAAUUGACUAAGGUGCUCCUGUGCUGAGGGUGUUUCCUCUGGGCUCCCGGAGACUGAGAGCUCACCCCUCGCACCUGGAGGACUCUGGGGACGAAGCGUGCACCGAGCCUGGGAGGGAGCGGGCAGCAGGGGGGGGGGGCAUGCAGCUGCUGUGCCCUCCCCGCAGCCGCCACUCAAACACCACAUGCCGAGGAGCAUCGGCUCCAGGAGGCACUCAGUGGGCCACAAACCAGCUGCUGGGCCGGAAAACAGCAAGAGCGACAAGGACCAGUCACGGGGAGGCCGGAACACGGACAACUUUGCUGAAGGCAGCCAGUGUCCAAGAGCUCGGAUAGGCUUUGACUUCAGCAGAACAUGCCCAUUUCCUAAUGGCCUUGGGGCUUGGGGACGCUAGUGGGGAUGCUUUUGUCCCUUGGAGGCCCCAGGCACGUGUGUGUUUCUGGUGGUGUUAGUGCCUUUUCCUACCAUUACAACAACGUGUCUGCCUCCAUUUCUCUGGUGAGAUUUGAAAUUCCUGGAGGGUGGAUACCUGAGUCACCUCUGUGACCCCUGAAAAGCCUGGAACAAUAUCAAACCCCAAGGAGGCCUUGCCAGGUGUGUGUGGGUUUGUCACAAAGAGGAGAGAGCACGCACAUGCAGGUCUGGGGCUGUGAGUGGCCCAGGGAACUCAGCCCAGUGCACUCCAAUGACUUGCAGAGGUCAAGAAAUUCACCGCCUCCUGGGAACCUGGUUUCCCCACCCUACAGGACUGCAGCUUACAGGACCCGUGGGGCCCUGGUGGUGGGUAGAGGGCUUAGUAAACAAGACCAAGCUUGGAAAGUUCUUGGAAGGCAGCCUGUUAGGUGUGCAAUAAACCAAAAGGAAAAUAACGCACUUGGAGAACCCUGAGUCCCUGCUAGUGUGUCCCAGGGGUCGGCAGGCUUUCACUGUAUAGUGCCGGAUGCAUUAAAUAUUUCCAUUUUGUGGGUCAAGAGACAAAAUCAAGGACACUAUGUAGGAAUUUCUAUAACAACCAUUUCCAUCUGGAAAUAGGCUGCUGUCUAGAUCUGGCCUGUGGACCUUAAUAUGCCAAGCAGACUAUCACAGACUGAGCCAGGAGCUCUUUGGUACUCACUGACUGAUAUGCUGGGGCAGACACCCCUCUCGUCCCCAUUUUAUGCAAGAGGGAACUGAGGGUCAGGGAGGCAAAGUGAUUUACUCUGGAGCACACAGCUCUGCAAAGGCAGAGAUGAGAUGGGGUUGAGUCCGGGUAACCCCAAAACACGUGAGCUGCUCUGUGUGCAUUUGUCUCCUGAGACCUACACGUUCACGAUGGAUGCUGGGGCAUGAAAACAGGCUGCAGAAGCUGGCUUCUUGUUGGGUAAUGGCAGGAGAUACUAAAGAAAACAAUCUAAGAAUCGCAAUGUACUCACGAUGUUCCUGAUCAACAUGCAAAAUCUGUAAAUAAUUGGCCUGAUCAAUGGGACAAAGCACGGCUUGCUGACACUGUGAUGUGUUCCUAUCUCACUGUGAGUAUUAUUUUCCCUUUUCAUAUUUACAGUCACCCAGCAGCCUGACCCCCAGCACUCCUACCAAUCCUGGGGGAUAUGAAGUAUCUCAUGGCCCCACGCAGCCUCUGUGCCCAUACAAAUGCAACAGAUGCAUCAAAAGCUUCCUUCUGAGUGGCAAUAUGGGGGUGACAAAUACCCUGUGAGUCACCUGAGGCCCACUGGGAACCGCGUGGGUCUGCACCAACCACGGGGCAUGGGGUUCCACCUGACAGCGGGAAAGAGGAUUUGAGGCCUGGAGCCCAGGCAGCAGAGAGGGAGAGAAGGAGGUGUGACCGCAAGAGGCGUGUGAACACAGAGGCAGGGGAAGGGAAGAUGCCUGAGAGGCAGCGGGACAGGACUUGAGGAAUGAAGGUGGGCCACACCUGUCCUUCAAAGUCAUGGAUGGCAUAAGCCUGGCCUAGGCGGAGGAGAGGGAACUUGGAGGGAAGCAUGUGAUGGUAGAGAACAGCCCACACAGGGCACAUGGAGGAAAAGGGGAGGGGGAGCCCCAGAACUGGAGCUGAGGGAUACAGGAAAAAGGCACCACUGUGUUCUUGUGGAGGCAGAGAAACGACCAGAAAAACAGGCUGGGACAAAUGUACAUAAAUGGACAACUGAGCAUCACACAACCUUGGAGGGACAGAAGAGAAGAUCUGAUCUCAUCCCAUUCAGUUAGAGGUCAUAAAGUAUGUGGUGCAGUGCAGCAGCUUCCAAAUUUUGGAUUAUGUGCUGAGAUCUGACCUACAGGGGCGUGCGUCCCUAUGUGAUGAGCACGAGAAGGAACAGAGUAAAGGCUGUCCAGGGACAUGGUCCCCACUGCCCUCCCAGGCCUCCUCGCUGGCUAGCUGAAGCUGGGCACACCCCGGUCCCUGUGGCGUGGCUUAUAUAUUAAAAUACAAACUGUAAGGGGUCUCGGUGUCAGGUCACACGUGGAGGCUGCAGGCCUGCCUCCCUCCUGUGCCUCUGGGGAGGCAGUGCCCCCCAACACUGGGUCUCCUGUGGGCUCACGUCCGGAGGGGGCAUGGGAACAAGGCUGCUCCCAGCUCACCAACAGCAACAGAGGAGAGCGGCAGUGGGCGUCAGUGCUGUGGGGGCACAAGAUGGGUGCAACUCACCUCCCAGCUGAUGAGUCCUCGCCUACCCUGAGCCGGACGCUGCUGUUUGGUAUUAAACAAAGCACACAACAUCCCCCCCUUGUGGAAGAGCCACCCGGCUUCUGGUGUGACGCUUCCCCAGGACUAGGCUCUGGCGGGGUUCACGGAUGGCUUCCCAGCUGUCAAAACCUAACAAUCCCUUGGUCCUUGGCCUGGGUAAUUUCUGCAGCAGUUUCUCCUGGGGGGCCUUCCCAUUUCUACACUGGUACACUCAAAAGUUGAUCUGCCACGGGUUUUGAAGUAUGGUCUCAACACUGUUUACUUCAUAUUUUUCUUUAAAGGUAGUUAAUUUGGUUUUCUUUAAAUAAAUGUAUUUUUGAAAGAAAAUUUAAUACUUCCUAUAAAUGGGAAACCAUUACUAUACAAUAAUCACAUGAAUUAAAAAAGACAAAAGGAGGUCAUUCUCAUACCACGCUGACUCUUCUUAUAUCCCAUCAUGUUUAACGUGCUGCUUGGAAUGA